AUCUCUAUGUGACCAUUGCACAAUCCAGUGGUUGAUUCAUGUGAAAUGAUACAAUCUUUACAUGCAAAUAGAUAAGGCUAAAUAUUUUUCUAUCGAGGACAAUUUUGGUUUGCGGGAAUUGGAGGAGAAAAAUGUAAUUCCCACAAAGUGAAAAAAAAAAUUCUUAUUUGGUUGGAGCUUUUAAAAAAAAAUAUAUAUAUAUCCAUAUUUAAUGGGAAAGAAAAAUUCAUAAGGGAGA
rnacentral:lncRNA from 1 species